AGAGUUUGAUCCUGGCUCAGGACGAACGCUGGCGGCGUGCCUAACACAUGCAAGUCAAGGAGGUACGGGUAGCAAUAUCUGUAUCGACUGGCGCACGGGUGCGGAAUACGUAGGUAAUCUACCCUCCAGGGGAGAACAACUCGCUGAAAGGCGAGCUAAUACUCCGUAACAUGAGAAACCGGCAUCGGUUUUUUAUCAAGCUUUCUGGGGGAUGAGCCUGCGCCUGAUUAGCUAGUUGGUAGUGUAACGGACUACCAAGGCUACGAUCAGUAGCUGGUCUGAGAGGAUGAUCAGCCACAUUGGGACUGAGACACGGCCCAGACUCCUACGGGAGGCAGCAGUGAGGAAUAUUGCUCAAUGGACGAAAGUCUGAAGCAGCAACGCCGCGUGAGGGAUGAAGGUGCUCUGCAUCGUAAACCUCUGUAGCCGGGGACAAA
rnacentral:rRNA from 1 species